UCCCUGGUGGCUCAGCUGGUAAAGAAUCCGCCUGCAAUGCGGGAGACCUGGGUUUGAUCCCUGGGCUGGGAA
rnacentral:tRNA from 1 species